rnacentral:piRNA from 1 species
UAGGAGCUAUGGGACCGGACAACUGCCU